rnacentral:rRNA from 1 species
AACGAACGCUGGCGGCAUGCCUAACACACGCAAGUCGAACGCCCCGCAAGGGGAGUGGCGAACGGGUGAGUAACGCGUGGGAACCUACCCAGCAGUUGGGGAUAACCGCGGGAAACUGCGGCUAAUACCGAAUACGUCCUAAGGGAGAAAGAUUUAUCGCUGUUGGAGGGGCCCGCGUCGGAUUAGCUAGUUGGUGAGGUAACGGCUCACCAAGGCGACGAUCCGUAGCUGGUCUGAGAGGAUGAUCAGCCACACUGGGACUUAGACACGGCCCAGACUCCUACGGGAGGAAGCAGUGGGGAAUAUUGGACAAUGGGGGCAACCCUGAUCCAGCAAUGCCGCGUGAGUGAUGAAGGCCUUAGGGUUGUAAAGCUCUUUUACCGGGGACGAUGAUGACGGUACCCGGAGAAUAAGCCCCGGCUAACUUCGUGCCAGCCGCCGCCGUAACAC